AUUGAACGCUGGCGGCAGGCCUAACACAUGCAAGUCGAGCGGUAGAGAGAAGCUUGCUUCUCUUGAGAGCGGCGGACGGGUGAGUAAUGCCUAGGAAUCUGCCUGGUAGUGGGGGAUAACGUUCGGAAACGGACGCUAAUACCGCAUACGUCCUACGGGAGAAAGCAGGGGACCUUCGGGCCUUGCGCUAUCAGAUGAGCCUAGGUCGGAUUAGCUAGUUGGUGAGGUAAUGGCUCACCAAGGCGACGAUCCGUAACUGGUCUGAGAGGAUGAUCAGUCACACUGGAACUGAGACACGGUCCAGACUCCUACGGGAGGCAGCAGUGGGGAAUAUUGGACAAUGGGCGAAAGCCUGAUCCAGCCAUGCCGCGUGUGUGAAGAAGGUCUUCGGAUUGUAAAGCACUUUAAGUUGGGAGGAAGGGUUGUAGAUUAAUACUCUGCAAUUUUGACGUUACCGACAGAAUAAGCACCGGCUAACUCUGUGCCAGCCGCCGCCGUAA
rnacentral:rRNA from 1 species